GAUGAACGCUGGCGACGUGGAUAAGGCAUGCAAGUCAAACGGCUCUUCGGAGCAGUGGCAGACGAGGUAGUAACACGUAGGAAACCACCCUUUAGUCAGGAAUAACUAUCCGAAAGGAUAGCUAAUACUUGAUAGUCUCUUCGGAGUAAAGAUUUAUCGCUAAAGGAGGUGCCUGCGGAGUAUCAGCUUGUUGGUAAGGUAAUGGCUUACCAAGGCUAUGACGCUUAGGGGAGGUGAGAGCCUGACCCCCACCGAUGGUACUGAGACACGGACCAUACACCUACGGGUGGCCGCAGUCGAGAAUCUUCCGCAAUGGACGAAAGUCUGACGGAGCGACGUCGCGUGAUCGAUGAAGUCUUUAGGGAUGUAAAGGUCUUUUAUAGAGGAGGAAGUUUAUUGACGUUACUCUAUGAAUAAGGGGUUGCUAAACUCG
rnacentral:rRNA from 1 species